GAUGAACGCUGGCGGCGUGCCUAAUACAUGCAAGUCGAGCGAACGGACGAGAAGCUUGCUUCUCUGAUGUUAGCGGCGGACGGGUGAGUAACACGUGGAUAACCUACCUAUAAGACUGGGAUAACUUCGGGAAACCGGAGCUAAUACCGGAUAAUAUUUUGAACCGCAUGGUUCAAUAGUGAAAGACGUUCUUGCUGUCACUUAUAGAUGGAUCCGCGCUGCAUUAGCUAGUUGGUAAGGUAACGGCUUACCAAGGCAACGAUGCAUACCCGACCUGAGAGGGUGAUCGGCCACACUGGAACUGAGACACGGUCCAGACUACUACGGGAGGCAGCAGUAGGGAAUCUUCCGCAAUGGGCGAAAGCAUGACGGAGCAACGCCGCGUGAGUGAUGAAGGUCUUCGGAUCGUAAAACUCUGUUAUUAGGGAAGAACAAAUGUGUAAGUAACUGUGCACAUCUUGACGGUACCUAAUCAGAAAGCCACGGCUAACUACGUG
rnacentral:rRNA from 1 species